GGUCCCAAGCGUUGUUCGGAUUCACUGGGCGUAAAGGGUGCGUAGGCGGUCGGGUAAGUCUGAUGUGAAAUCUCACAGCUUAACUGUGAAACUGCAUUGGAUACUAUCCGGCUAGAGGAAUGGAGGGGAGACUGGAAUACUUGGUGUAGCAGUGAAAUGCGUAGAUAUCAAGUGGAACACCAGUGGCGAAGGCGAGUCUCUGGACAUUUCCUGACGCUGAGGCACGAAAGCCAGGGGAGCAAACGGG
rnacentral:rRNA from 1 species